CAGCCGCCGCGGUAAUACGUAGGUGGCAAGCGUUGUCCGGAAUUAUUGGGCGUAAAGGGCUCGCAGGCGGUUUCUUAAGUCUGAUGUGAAAGCCCCCGGCUCAACCGGGGAGGGACAUUGGAAACUGGGAAACUUGAGUGCAGAAGAGGAGAGUGGAAUUCCACGUGUAGCGGUGAAAUGCGUAGAGAUGUGGAGGAACACCAGUGGCGAAGGCGACUCUCUGGUCUGUAACUGACGCUGAGGAGCGAAAGCGUGGGGAGCGAACAGGAUUAGAUACCCGUGUAGUCCCUGUCUCUUAUAC
rnacentral:rRNA from 1 species